AUUAAGUGUCGUAAGGGCAUUUGGUGGAUGCCUUGGCAUGCACAGGCGAUGAAGGACGUGACACGCUGCGAAAAGCCGUGGGGAGCUGCGAAUGAGCUUUGAUCCAUGGAUCUCC
rnacentral:rRNA from 1 species